GUCCUAACCUAAAUUAUUCAUAGAAUUACCUGAUAAUUAGAUUGUUAACUUAGUCAAUUCUCAAAAUUUAUUAAUCCAUUGAGCUAGAUCGACGUAAAAAUUAAUGCAAUUUAUUUUGUGAAAAUUGUACGUCUCGAAGUUUUUAUGGAAUAAAAAGAAUGUAAUAGUUUAAGAGGAGCUUUAAGUGAUAUAUUAUUGACGUAAUAGCAUGUGAAAGUGAGUCACAGUUAAAACUCGGGAUGAUGGACGUCACACGUUUAUUGAAAUUUUGGAAAUUAGGUUGAAAAUAAAUAGAUUUAUAAUCUUAUUGAAUAUUUUUUAAAUUUUUUCAUUUAAUAUUAUUGUGAAAUAGUUUGCAAAAUAUGUUGGACUUUGAAAUCUUAGUUAUUAUUGGGUAAUUUAAAUUAGUGAUACAAGUAGGUAUUUAUUUAGAAAUACAAAACAGAUUUUAGUUUUUAUCUUUAUAUACUUAAUAUGAAACUUUGUUAUAUGUAGAAUGUUAGUUGAUUAAACUACAUAUUAUGUUGGGGGAAUUGAGUUAUUAUGAAGGAACAAAAUUUUAUGCAAGCUUAGUAUUUUAUUAUAAGAUUAAGCAAAUAGGGGAGAGUUUUUAGGGUAUCGGAACUAUUUUUGAAAUAAAAGAGUAAAUUGUUCAAUAAAUAAUUUAAUAUAACAACGAAAAUAACGAUGUCCUAUAUUUACAACAUUUUCGGUAUGCUUAUAACCAAGCGCUUUUAUAGCUACUAUCUUAACUACUUUUCAAAUUGCAUUCAAAUCAAAUUAAAUGUUUUCUAGUUUAUCAGUUCUUUAAACAAAACAUUGAGCAAAAAACAA